GGAGCCUGCAUGGAGGAGGUGACAUCUAAGUUGGAUUGUGAAGGGUGAGGAGUUUUUCAUGCAGAGGAGAGGAGCACAAACCUUUCAGUACUGAAGGAUUCAGGACCAUGGCCAGCACCGAAGCAGCCUACAAAUUCUGAAAUAAGCUUAGAGUCUUAGCCAAAGAGAUCAGCACUGCCUUUACGGAGCUUGGCGUGAGGGGAGAGGGCUGAGUCUGCUGCCUCUGGAUGGAGUGAGAGCUUCUCAAGGUAGAACAAAGGCAGUGAAGGGUGUAGGGAUAUUAUACAGCUGUGCUCCAUGAGCAUGUGUUAAGGCUGUAGAAUGGAUCCUGGCAAGAUGACCUCAAAUUAAGAUUUUAAUGACUCUUCCAUUUAGAAGACACACUCUUUCCAUUAAUGCUGCCUUGUCAGAGUGAACACAUUAUAGAGAAGAGAUUUUGGCACGCCUUUCCCACUAAUGCUUAGCAAAUGCAUCAAAACUUUGCCAGCAAACUGCGUUCAUUCAUAGCAGGGCACUGGCUGUGGCAUUGAGACACAAGGAAAGAAAUGACAAAGAAACACUUAACCUGUGACUUGAUCAACCAGGAUUCGAGAGGUGAUGAUACGGCCAUAUUGCGAGAAAAGCUGCUCCAGUUCCUUCUGGGUCAUGGUUUUGGGAAGGCCGCUAACGUAGAGGUUAGCAUCCCUGAUUGAGGCAGAGCUCGGACGGGCAUAUGAGACCUAGGAAAAGGCAAGAGGAGCUAAAUCCAUUACAGGCAACACCCUCUGAGUAGAGACUGAGUCAACAACUGAGAUGACAGCCCCUUGUCUAUCAUUCGAACUCAUGGUGUCGUUUAAAUAUCUCAGUAGUUCAGAUUCUUAGCUACUCUUGUAAUCGUAAUACGAAUCCUGAGAACGGCAACAGAGGAACAAAAGGAGAGGUGACGAUAACUUAAAACAAAUGCACA